rnacentral:rRNA from 1 species
UCGGGAAUUUUGGGCAAUGGGCGAAAGCCUGACCCAGCAGCGCCGCGUGAGGGAUGAAGUAUUUCGGUAUGUAAACCUCGAAAGAAUGGGAAGAAUAAAUGACGGUACCAUUUAUAAGCUCCGGCGAACUACGUGCCAGCAGCCGCGGUAAUACGUAGGGAGCAAGCGUUGUUCGGAUUUACUGGGCGUAAAGGGCGCGUAGGCGGCGCGGUAAGUCACUUGUGAAAUCUCUGAGCUUAACUCAGAACGGCCAAGUGAUACUGCUGUGCUAGAGUGCGGAAGGGGCAACCGGAAUUCUUGGUGUAGCGGUGAAAUGCGUAGAUAUCAAGAGGAACACCUGAGGCGAAGGCGGGUUGCUGGGCCGACACUGACGCUGAUGCGCGAAAGCCAGGGGAGCAAACG